rnacentral:lncRNA from 1 species
CUUUCCCAUUAACCAAACGGAGCCAUUAGGUGAUGUGAGAGCACAUGUGGUCAUUGAGCCCUAACAUAUGAUGCUCUAUACAACGAAGGAAGUUGAGGUUCCACCUCAAGAUAACCCAAUUUAAAAAUAAAGGAUGAGGAUUGGAAUUACGUAACAAAAAUAAUAGUUUAACUGAGACAUGUGCACAAUAUAUUAAGAAUCAUACAAUAUACUAAGAAUCACAAACACUAGUACAAACCGAGAGAAAAGCUACAUGCUCAUUUGUUGUAGUCUUAUGCUUGACUACUCUGCCAUUGCAGAUAAUGCAACAGAUUCUGCUCUUCAUGAUCAAUUUCACAUUGUGAAUAGGUGGAGAUUCAAGACUUUUGGCUCAUCCACCUGUGCUCUUCAACAGAUGAUUCAAUUAUCAACAGCAUCCUGUUGAUCAUUCUCAUGAAAGAAAAACAGGAUAGUGUAGAUGGCUCUUGGAUUGGGAGGUUU